UAUAGCUGUUGUCGGCAGGUAUUACUUCAGGUAAUCGUAAAAAAAUGUAAAUUGUCACUACAACGAUGAUAUUAAUCAGUCUAAUUAGUUUUCAAGGAAGACCGCGAAAAACGCAUGAAAUAAGCGUAAUUGCGCAGUGUUGAAGGUCAAAAAAAUAUAAUAAUAUACUGUACUUUACUAAAAAGAUUAGGCUACCGAUAAAAUAUUCUCUUAUGAACUCAUCGGUCUGACAAUUUA